AGGUCUGAGGUCAAUCUGGCUACAAUAUCUGUCACUUCACUGAUCAAUAGGGUUGAUUUGGCUGAUCUGGCUGUCUAAGCACAUAUCCCUUUCCUCCCUCACCAAUCCAUGUCAAGACUUUUCGGCAGACUAGGAUAUAGCUCACCUGGUAGAGCCUACUUUUUACCACAGAAGAGGACCUGCAGUCAGUCUCUGGCCUCCUCAUAGGAACACUUGCCCAGGUGAGCUUCACAAGUGGUGGAGCAGGACCAU
rnacentral:snRNA from 1 species